rnacentral:rRNA from 1 species
GCGACGACGGGUAGCCGGCCUGAGAGGGCGACCGGCCCACUGGGACUGAGACACGGCCCAGACUCCUACGGGAGGCAGCAGUGGGGAAUAUUGCGCAAUGGGCGAAAGCCUGACGCAGCGACGCCGCGUGAGGGAUGAAGGCCUUCGGGUUGUAGACCUCUUUCAGCAGGGACGAAGCGUGAGUGACGGUACCUGCAGAAGAAGCACCGGCCAACUACGUGCCAGCAGCCGCGGUAAUACGUAGGGUGCAAGCGUUGUCCGGAAUUAUUGGGCGUAAAGAGCUCGUAGGCGGUUUGUCGCGUCGGCUGUGAAAUCUCGGGGCUCAACCCCGAGCCUGCAGUCGAUACGGGCAGACUAGAGUGCUGUAGGGGAGACUGGAAUUCCUGGUGUAGCGGUGAAAUGCGCAGAUAUCAGGAGGAACACCGGUGGCGAAGGCGGGUCUCUGGGCAGUAACUGACGCUGAGGAGCGAAAGCGUGGGGAGCGAACAGGAUUAGAUACCCUGGUAGUCCACGCCGUAAACGGUGGGUGCUAGGU